AACGAACGCUGGCGGCAUGCCUAACACAUGCAAGUCGAACGAAGGCUUCGGCCUUAGUGGCGCACGGGUGCGUAACGCGUGGGAAUCUGCCCUUUGGUUCGGAAUAACAGCUGGAAACGGCUGCUAAUACCGGAUGAUGACGAAAGUCCAAAGAUUUAUCGCCAGAGGAUGAGCCCGCGUUGGAUUAGGUAGUUGGUGGGGUAAAGGCCUACCAAGCCGACGAUCCAUAGCUGGUCUGAGAGGAUGAUCAGCCACACUGGGACUGAGACACGGCCCAGACUCCUACGGGAGGCAGCAGUGGGGAAUAUUGGACAAUGGGCGCAAGCCUGAUCCAGCAAUGCCGCGUGAGCGAUGAAGGCCCUAGGGUUGUAAAGCUCUUUUACCCGGGAAGAUAAUGACUGUACCGGGAGAAUAAGCCCCGGCUAACUCCGUG
rnacentral:rRNA from 1 species